rnacentral:rRNA from 1 species
CCCGAAUAAUUGGGCGUAAAGAGCUCGUAGGCGGUUUGUCGCGUCUGCCGUGAAAGUCCGGGGCUCAACUCCCGGAUCUGCGGUGGGUACGGGCAGACUAGAGUGAUGUAGGGGAGACUGGAAUUCCUGGUGUAGCGGUGAAAUGCGCAGAUAUCAGGAGGAACACCGAUGGCGAAGGCAGGUCUCUGGGCAUUAACUGACGCUGAGGAGCGAAAGCAUGGGGAGCGAACACGAUUAGAUACCCUGGUAGUCCAUGCCGUAAACGUUGGGCACUAGGUGUGGGGGACAUUCCACGUUUUCCGCGCCGUAGCUAACGCAUUAAGUGCCCCGCCUGGGGAGUACGGCCGCAAGGCUAAAACUCAAAGGAAUUGACGGGGGCCCGCACAAGCGGCGGAGCAUGCGGAUUAAUUCGAUGCAACGCGAAGAACCUUACCAAGGCUUGACAUGAACCGGUAAUACCUGGAGACAGGUGCCCCGCUUGCGGUCGGUUUACAGGUGGUGCAUGGUUGUCGUCAGCUCGUGUCGUGAGAUGUUGGGUUAAGUCCCGCAACGAGCGCAACCCUCGUUCUAUGUUGCCAGCACGUGAUGGUGGGGACUCAUAGGAGACUGCCGGGGUCAACUCGGAGGAAGGUGGGGACGACGUCAAAUCAUCAUGCCCCUUAUGUCUUGGGCUUCACGCAUGCUACAAUGGCCGGUACAAAGGGUUGCGAUACUGUGAGGUGGAGCUAAUCCCAAAAAGCCGGUCUCAGUUCGGAUUGGGGUCUGCAACUCGACCCCAUGAAGUCGGAGUCGCUAGUAAUCGCAGAUCAGCAACGCUGCGGUGAAUACGUUCCCGGGCCUUGUACACACCGCCCGUCAAGUCACGAAAGUUGGUAACACCCGAAGCCGGUGGCCUAACCCCUUGUGGGAGGAGCUGUCGAAGGGGGACCCUGGGUCC